rnacentral:rRNA from 1 species
AUUGAACGCUGGCGGCAGGCCUAACACAUGCAAGUCGAGCGCGAAAACACUUCGGUGUGAGUAGAGCGGCGGACGGGUGAGUAAUGCUUGGGAAUCUGCCCAGUAGUGGGGGAUAACGUGUGGAAACGCACGCUAAUACCGCAUACGUCCUACGGGAGAAAGCAGGGGAUCUUCGGACCUUGCGCUAUUGGAUGAGCCCAAGUCAGAUUAGCUAGUUGGUGAGGUAAUGGCUCACCAAGGCGACGAUCUGUAGCUGGUCUGAGAGGAUGAUCAGCCACACUGGGACUGAGACACGGCCCAGACUCCUACGGGAGGCAGCAGUGGGGAAUAUUGCACAAUGGGCGAAAGCCUGAUGCAGCCAUGCCGCGUGUGUGAAGAAGGCUCUAGGGUUGUAAAGCACUUUCAGUGGGGAGGAAAAGUUUAAGAUUAAUACUCUUGAACCUUGACGUUACCUGCAGAAGAAGCACCGGCAAACUCCGUGCCAGCAGCCGCGGUAAUACGGAGGGUGCGAGCGUUAAUCGGAAUUACUGGGCGUAAAGCGCGCGUAGGUGGUUUGAUAAGCUAGCUGUGAAAGCCCCGGGCUCAACCUGGGAACUGCAGUUAGAACUGUCUGGCUAGAGUAUAGUAGAGGGUGGCGGAAUUUCCUGUGUAGCGGUGAAAUGCGUAGAUAUAGGAAGGAACAUCAGUGGCGAAGGCGGCCACCUGGACUAAUACU